UGGAAGCUGGGUGUACCUAAAGUCGGUAACCGUAAGGAGCCGCCUAGGGUAAACUAGUAACUGGGGCU
rnacentral:rRNA from 1 species